CCGAUGAACCUGAAUAUCCAUUAUGGAAAAUUCAGCUUUAUGAUUGUGGUAUUAUACCAAAUACCAUGAGAAUAUUGUGCACUUUUUCCAUAUAAGGACAUUGUAAUCUAUUAGUAUGAUUAUUUAUCAUAAAGUUAUGGCUUAAGUUUAUUCAAAUUAGUUUACUUCGGUUUAUUAACAUAGAAUAAAUGCUGAUAAUUUGAUAAAGUAUUGAUAGAUUAAAUAAAUACAAUGCUUAAAUUCUUUUGAAUUUUAUAAUAGCCUGGGGAUCAUGAUCUUUGGGCUUAUUAUAUGCAUUCGUAUGAUUAACAAUGCGAAAGAUUCAGGAUACCUUCGGGACCCGUCUUGAAACACGGACCAAGGAGUCUAACAUAUGUGCAAGUCAUUGGGAUUUAUAAAACCCAAAGGCGAAAUUAACUUAACUGUUUCAUGGGAUUAGUUUUUAGUCUAUUUUAGUCUAUUAAUUCAAUCCCGGGGCGUUCUAUAUGGUUAUGUAUAAUAGUAUUUAUAUUAUUUAUAUCUCUAACCAGAGCGUACCUUGAGCAUUUAUGCUGUGACC
rnacentral:rRNA from 1 species